UAUGUAAGUUCUAAGUGAUACUUUAAAAACAGGUCUGAAUGUCAUCCCACAGCCUCAAGUAUCUUCAGGAAAGUGUUACUAAUCCAAGCAGAUUGUAGAACUUUAAAAACAAACAGAAAAACAAACAAACAGAAAACCCUUUAUUUGGAUAUUCUGAAAAGUUUCUUUUCCUCAUUCCAUUUACAUUAAUUAAAAAGACAGAAUAAGAGGAUUAGUUGCAAUAUACUGCAAUGUCCAAAAUAAUUUUCUUUGGAGCCUUGGUUGUGUUUUGUAUCAAUGUUUAGGGAUAUACUUCCUAUCUUCAGUCUCUGCAGUUAAUUCCAGGGAUACCAGUAACACAAUAUGGAAUUUCAUUCUCUUUACAUGGAAAACAUAUUAUGACUCACUCUGCUAAAUUACAUGUUGGAGAAAAAAUGCUCAAAUGCUUCAUACAAAGUAAUGUGGAUAUUUACAGGGAAAGUUUUCACAUACAUCUUUUUUUAUUCUGGAUAAAACACAGCAGUUUAUUGCAUGCAGUAUUGGGAACCUUUUAGUAAAAUUUUACAGAUUAAAUACAUAUCCAAAUUUUUUGCCUUCGAAGCUGAAAUGUAAGAAGUAUAUCAGAUAUGAAUCAAAGCCCAAAUGCCCUCAGUUACCUGACAGAGCCAGCCAAAAAGUUGAUAUCUUUAGAACAAAUGGUGAUAGGCCUUAUCCAGGAGCAUUUCUGGCAGCCUGUUAGAGUGGGAUAAGAUAUUACAACUGCUCUGAAAUUACAGAGUGACUCUUGUAUUUCAGAAUGUUCAGAACUUUGUUUUAAAUAUAGUUUGUGAGCCCAGUCAGUGAGUCUUUAUUUCUGGACUAAUCAUUACUUAGAGAGGAAUAUAUAUUGACCAAAUAGCAGUAAAUUGAAAUCUUUCCUCCUUGAAAUGGAGGCUUGCAGCAAAGGAAAGAUUCCCGUCUAGUUUAUUUCUUAGUCAAGACUUGACAGUGUCUAUUUCCAAGUUAACAUGUAUAUGUUUAUAUAUAUAUACUGAUAGGAGAAUUAAUGUAAAACUAAUGGAAAUUGCCCCUUCCAAGUGGGUUUCAAAUAUGCCAGUUGCUCUUCAUUGUGUGUUUGGUCAUUUAUAAAAUUGUAUAAUGUAUAUUACUUAAUGUUAAUGCUCACCAGUUCUUUUGCUACUUUUUUUUUUUUUUUUUUUCAGAAAAGCUAUCUGUAGUUUGGUUUAGUGAAUGUUCUGUCUUCUAGUAAAUGUCAGAGGUUAUUUGGAACGGUGGUACAUUAAUGGAUGGGCAGCUGUUUAAUUCUGACUGUUGGUUACAAUGAGUACUGACAGUGUAAUGCAACCAACAUUUUUCAUCACUGAGCAGCCAGAGUUAGUCACACGUACUUGGCCUGAGGGGAAUCCAGUCUCUCUGGAUGACCAAUGACAAAAAUCCCACUGAGCCUCUGCCACAGAAGCAUCUCAUAUAGGAGUUACCAGGAAUCAGCACUUCCCAAAGGUCGUGGCCUCACAAACACUAGAGGUGUUUGGAAAGUGAGGAGAGCACACUAUGGAUAUGCCCUUCACUGUUUUCCACAGAGUAAUCUUCCUGAGCUUCUGAUUCACUCAUUACAGGGUAAUGUCCAGUCCUUUGCUCUUACAGAAUAGAUCUCAAAACAAGCUCUGCAGUAAUAAAGCAUAAACAUCUCCCAUGGUUAAAGUUUCUCUUGACAUUACUGUUAUCACUGGUUACCCUGCACAUUCCAGGGAUAGUUUAGAUUGUUUAGAAGGCAAACCACAAUCACAAAAACAGCUGUGGAACAACAGUGGUAUUCACUGACGUAAAAUGAAAUGCAUGAGAGUAGAACUAAUUUUAACUUUCAUGUGUAGUAGAUACAUGAUUGACAUAGAAGAAACAAAUUAAUUACAUCACCAGGAACAUUUGCUAGUGAAAAAAGAAGUUGGCUAAAAUGAUGUAGUGAAAUGCACUAAAUAAGCAUUUCCAUUGCUUCUUUUUUGUUUCUUUUUGUUUAUGCUGACAUAACAGCCCUUCAGAUAAAGAUACUUCUCACUGAAAUAUUUAAUGAAUGUAACUACAUACAAAUUACCUACAGAAUUACAUACAAAAUAACUUUUUGUAUGUAAGUUGAAGAUGAAAUGUUGAAUUUAUACUAAUAAUCUGAAGUGGUAUACCAAGGAAAAAAUUUGUAAGUUAUUAGAAAAUAGAAAAAUAUAUCAAGAAACGUCCAAUACAGGGAAGAAAUGCAUAUACACUUCAACUAGAAGGAACAUACUGACAAAACAUCAAUUUCAUCCUCUGUUGCCUGCAGAUUAUCAUAUCAUCAUAUCAUAUCAUAUCAUGUCAUUUCUUUCAUAAAAUUACCAGUUACAGGCAAAUUAUUUGGGGUAUGGUCAGUGAAUCUAUAAAGCUGUCACAAGGCAACAGAAUUGCCAAAAGAACCAAUUCUUCUCUUUCCCAUUCCCAGUGUCUUUUUUCUACUCCUGAUGCCACCUGAUUUGUGAUGGCCUAAGUGUUAGUAAUAACUAAAGUACCUAGUGUAUUUCAUCCUAAAUGCUAACAUAGAAAGGAGGAAAACUGUAUCCACACUUACACUGAGGUGUGAAAAUGUUGCAUAAAACAAGGGCUAUGUCUCAGAGAGCUUUGCCUCACAAUUUGUUGUUCAGCUUCUGCAUAUAUUAAAAUUUUAUUCACUGAAUGGGUGCAGCAGGCAUUUGAGAUGCAACCAGUGCAAUGACAUCAUGUGGCAAGAGUUUGUGGAAAAAGGGCUGUUGGUGAUAAAUAUAGACAUUUGCUCAUGUCUCAAGGGCUCAGUUGGUAUCCCAGUUGAUAAGUGAGUCUCUAAAUGUGAGCGAUGACGCAGAUCAAGCCUCACAUUUCUGCUCAGAGUGUAGAUGGCAGUUGCAGUGAUCAUUGUGCACAGGGCCUUAAGAUGAUACCAGGGAAAAAAAAGUUGGGGGUGGGAAUCAACAAUGCUGUUUCCUCUGAAAAGAAAUGUUGAUAAUGUGGUAAUAAUGUUACAUAGACAAAUUUUAUAAUGUGUAUGAUGUUUAGAAAAGCUAUCUUCUCUAUUUUUAUAAACCUGAUGAGAUAUAAAAGUGUUCACAAUGUCUAAUUUUUUGUCAGUUACAGGACAUCAGUCACCUUCUCUCCCUUUCAUGUUGGUUAAUGGCAAUUUAGGGUCAAGGAAAGUAGAUACUUUGGCUAAGACUGAGAGCAGAACACAGUUCUGACAAGGACAGACUGUGAAGGAGGUAGGGGAAAUGGGCAAUACAGAAAUACCAGAAGCAGGAACUCACCACUCACAAUUGCAGGAAAUAUUAUUAAUAGCUUAAUCUUGAUAAAAACUGGAAGCAUAAAAUAACUGUGGUAGAAAAGAAGGUGCAAUACUGCCUAUUCUUGAAGUGAAAAAAUGCUCCUGUGAGGCAGCAAGCAGCCAGCACUACCAUGAGUGGCCUCACUGUUUGGAAACAGACUGACACCAUGGCAAGCGUCAUCCCCUCUAUCCUCCACAACCUCGCAGUGCACACCUUUCCCUGCCUUUCUGCCAUCAAUAAGCAGCAAAAGGAGGGAUCAUCAUUUUGCAGCUAGAAGCGAGUGUCACAGAAAACAUUUCAUCAUUCAUGCUUUGAGAGUCACGGAACAGCAGGUAAUUACAUUUACCAGCUUUGUUGCUCCCCUGCCAAGUCCUUCCUGUGGGAAAGGGCUGUGGUUAUAUGCUACAUAACCAGCUCAGCAAGUCAUGUCAGCUCCCUGAUGAAAUGGAGGGAGAGAGCUUACCUCAUCACAAUUAAAAACCUGCUCUGUUUCCAUUUAUGUAGCACAGAGCUAACUGUUACGGGAAGGUUGGAUCACAGCUAUUUAACUCCACUGCCUUAACAUGAAAAAAUAACACAGGUAGAGCCAUUAGAGAGGAGGGAUGACAUCAGUUCAUCCUGAAUGAUGUCCUAGUCUGCGUAAAUAACCAAACCUUUCUUUAACAUGCUUUACCAUACCUAAGUGUACAAUAUGGAAUUAUUUUUUCUGAUCUGAAUUUUAAAAGUUCUAAUAUAACAAGAGACAAUUUUUAAAAAACAUUUAUAACAAUGAGCCUGAAUCUGAAAUAUUUUUCACUGGAAGCAAUCAAGGACAGAUACUCUCCAGUUAGUAGGUUUAUACUGGUAACUCCAAUCAGAAUGGAACCUUUGUUUAGCCUGAAAUAUAAAUUAGUGUUCCUGAGGCUUCCAGUGAAUAUCUACAGAAAUUUUAAAACAGGGUUUUAUCAAUUUAAGUGUUUCAGUAUUUAUUCUGGUGUAAUGAAAGCAUUAACAUUGUUGUAAAGAAGCACUAGUGAUUAAAGGGACAUUAUCCAUACGUGAAAAUAUACAUUCUUCAAGUUGUGAUUAAUAGGUAAGCACAAUUUUAUGAAAAUUAAGCAUUAAUCAAUUAGUAAUUCAGAAAUAGAUUCCCAAAUACAGUCAGUUUACUAUAUCAGAUGUGGACAUAGAGGGUUUUGUGUAUGACUACCUGAAUUUGAUAUAAAGUCACUACAGGAAAUUUAGUAUAUCUAAUCUUGCAGUAUCUAAAUAAAGUUUCUGAUACUGCAUGGUAUGAGUCAUUACCAAUCCAAUUAAGAAAGGGAUUAAAACAAGAAACAAAAGAUGAUGAUGGGGAGAGACUACUAAAAAUGAUUUAAAGAAACUGUUACACUGAAAGAAACUUACUAGUGGAGUACUUCAAAGAUCCAUCUUGAGACUGACUUUAAUAUUUGCAGUAAUUACACCAGCACUAGCUGUGCUACUGACUUAAAGACUGAGAGCUGAGCAGCAUUUAAAGAUUUUUUUAAAUGCCAUAUGGGAAACAUCUGAAGACUAGAGACAGAAUUGCUUAUGUGACUAUCUGAAAUUCAACAGUGCAAAAUGAAAGGGCAUCCACCCGGUGGCAGGUCAGCAUUUCCAUAUUAGCAUAAUCUCAGCUGUGGGAAACCAGCAGGACAGAAGACCCACAAAUGCUAUUCAGAGGCAGAAUCACUGGUGUUUCUGAUGUGAUGUGACUUUCAAAAGGACAAAUAGGAUCCUAGAACACAGCAGGUGAGUACAUAUACAAAAUAAAUAUUUAAGAAAGGACUUGUGAAACUUAAUCUGGAAUACUGUACACAUCUCUGUUCACUGUUGCUUAAGGAUGUUGAGUGGAAGGAGAGCAAGGGGGAAUUAGAAUGAUCAGGGCACUGGUGGCUCUCUAACAAGAGGAGACAACUGCUCUUGGCUUGCAUUACCUAACAGGUUGCAUUACCUAAGGUUGAGAAGGGAUCCCUAAAAAUAAAUCACAGAUUAAAUACUAGGGAGCAAGAAGAGCUCCUUUGGUGAAAAGUAGUGUGGGCCAAAAAGAAAUGGAUACAAACUGGCAACGAAGAAGUUUAGUCCUGACUCACAGCCUUGGCUUUCAGAUAUGACAUAACUGCAAAUAGUUUUAUGAAAGGAUGCUGGUAACAAAAUACUUGCAGCAGCAUGGUGAAACCAGAGUGGCCUAUGAAUGUGAGGACCAUUAUAGUUUCAUUAUAACAGAGGACUGUAGCUUGGUAAAGACUUUGAUCUUAAUGUGCAAUCUAAUCUUAUUCCACUUUUUUGUUCUAUUUAUGUCUCUUUCCUGGUUUGCUUUUUUUACAGGGGUUUUUUGUGGUGCCACAGUGUUCCCUGCACAGAAAGCACAAUCCCCAGCCAGUGAACCAGUAGCACUUCUGGAGAGAUGAGACACAAACCAGAAGCAAAUAGGAUAUAAUUUUUAAAGAUUACUAUUAAGUUUGUUUUUCUUGGGCCAGGUCUCAUAAGCCCUCAAAAAGAAACUUAAUACACCUAAGGAUAGCUCGGCUAUGACUUUUGGGGGGAUAAAAUAAGCAGGAUGACUUCUGCUACGGUGUUAGAAACAAAAAAGGUUUAAUAAAAGGCAAAAUAACAAACAGAAAAACUCGAGCCAGGUGCAAAGGUCUGCUUCUGGUAAAAACACCUCACAAAAGCACUUUAGCUCUUUUGUUCUCUUCUUUUCUACCUGAUGGGUCAGGCAGGACUUUUUGGCUUCUAUCCAGUUAUAUGUUCUCUAGUGUUUGGUUAAAUCCCUGAGGUCCUAUGAGGUGGCUUUUCACCUAAUCGUUGAGAGAAACUUCUGGGCUUCUUUCCUUUUUUGGGGAACAAAAGUUAGUUUUGCCACUCUGUCAUUAAGGGAUACACUCCUACAGAUUACAAGUAAACUCAUUUUGCAAGGUUAAAAGCAGUAUUUUAUUAGGCUAUAAAUACUAUUCUUUUGGAUUUGGCAUCAGUACCAUUUCAAAUCCAUUUUCAGCAGCUUCUAACUGGGUUAAAAUUAUCAUAAAAUUCAUUUCAGGGAAUUUGGAGAAUGAAGAUUAUAAACAAACAGCUUUUGAUUAUUAUCUAAGAGAAUCAAUAGCUGUCCUUGCCCAGGCUAGAGAGCAAAGACGUUUCUAAAUAAACAAGAUUAUUAUGAGUGCAGUUGGUAAUUAGGGUGUGCAGCAUCGAGUUACUUAACAUAAAAACAUUAGUUAGAAUAGUUGGGAUCAACAGCAAUCAAAAAUAAGAAAAGAACUAAAAGUGUUAGUCAUAAUAUGUCAUAAACAAAGUGUUGAGUUUUUCAGUUCACAAAUACAUGUGAAUCUUCUGAUCAGAACUUCUAAUGGAUAAAACUUGCUCCUUUCAUAUGUAUCAAAGCAAUAUAUGGGAUAAAUAAAUAAGUUUGCCUAAUCUGUGAUCUGACUCCUAUAUGUCAUGAAAACUUUGAUGUAAUCUUUGGCAGUUUUUUCCCAAUACAUUUGUGAUCUGUUUCAAAUAGCUAAUUAGAUUUUUUCCCAAACCAAAAUGCACUCUUUCCUAUAUUAUUAGUUUUGAAAUGUGACCCAAAAGACAGGCUUUACAAAUGGUCUUUUGAAGCCAAGUAAUAAACUCUGCCAGUCACUCAAUUACCUUUAUUUUUCUAACACAAGAAAACCUGAGAACAGUUGAGUUACAAGUAACAAUUUAAACCAUUACUCAGUUCAUCUGACUUAAUGAUGAAAUCUCCCUUUUAUAUUCAUGUAAGUAACAUCUGUCAAUGUACCCAUGAUUUAUCUCUUGCACUAUAUGUAACUUCUUAAAUUUCUCUUUUGCUAUUAUAAUAGAGAUCACUUGUUUAUCCCUUUUUCAGCUUGAGCUCAAAGAACAGAAAAAAAUCUAACAUUUCAUUGUAUGUUGGCAGUUUGUAUCACUUUCCAUCUUUCUUCUGUAGAUGAAAUGCCCAGAGCUUGCAGAAAAGGUAUAAUUAGUUAAAUUAUUUUCAUUCUUGAAAAUAAAGGCACAUUUUUUUUUCUAAAAGGCAUGUGAAUCCCUGGCACUUCUGUGGACUCACAGGAGUUGAAAUGGUUUUAUUAAUCUAAUCAUGGUGAAUUAUGAGCCAUAAAGAUUAUGUGUCACAUUGAACAGGCAUUGAACUAGCAAAAUUCAACUCCAUUAGAAGAAAUCAGCCUGUUUAAAACUCCUUACAUUAUCUAUAAGUAAUUAUUUGCUUCUAUAUUUAUAGAGUUGUGCUAUGUUGACAUUUGAUAUUAAAUAUUUGACAUAUCUCCAGGUGUAAUCUGAGUUUUAAAAAGUUUAAACAAUUUUUAAUGCAUAUGCUAAUAGCUAUUGAGGUCAAAGAGCACUAUAGAUCAAACAGUGCAUUGAAACUCACAUUAAUACCUUUUUUUUCAGCUAGUCCAUACUUUCUGACUGACUUCUAUCAAGGGAGAAUCAUGAGAAAAUUAUGCCUAGCUCUGGGCCAUCAUACUAUUGUCUCCUAACUACACAAAAACUAGAAUGUGAAAGUCGAGGUUUAUUUAUUGCAAUGAAAUAAAGCUGGCCAUUCAUAAUGA